UUGGUUGCAUUUAUGGAUUUUCCCUUUUUAAACAGAUGACCAUAUGCUGCUAGAAAAUGCAGAAUGAUUAUUCUAGCUUGAAGUGCAAGCAAUAGGAAAAGCACUGAGAGGGAUGCUCACCUAUUUCAAGACCCAAAAUGCAAGGAAUUGAUACAAAUGAUGACCAUAUGCUGCUAGAAAAUGCAGAAUGAUUAUUCUAGCUUGAAGUGCAAGCAAUAGGAAAAGCACUGAGAGGAUGCUCACCUAUUUCAAGACCCAAAAUGCAAGGAAUUGAUACAAAUGAUGACCAUAUGCUGCUAGAAAAUGCAGAAUGAUUAUUCUAGCUUGAAGUGCAAGCAAUAGGAAAAGCACUGAGAGGGAUGCUCACCUAUUUCAAGACCCAAAAUGCAAGGAAUUGAUACAAAUGAUGACCAUAUGCUGCUAGAAAAUGCAGAAUGAUUAUUCUAGCUUGAAGUGCAAGCAAUAGGAAAAGCACUGAGAGGGAUGCUCACCUAUUUCAAGACCCAAAAUGCAAGGAAUUGAUACAAAUGAUGACCAUAUGCUGCUAGAAAUGCAGAAUGAUUAUUCUAGCUUGAAGUGCAAGCAAUAGGAAAAGCACUGAGAGGGAUGCUCACCUAUUUCAAGACCCAAAAUGCAAGGAAUUGAUACAAAUGAUGACCAUAUGCUGCUAGAAAAUGCAGAAUGAUUAUUCUAGCUUGAAGUGCAAGCAAUAGGAAAAGCACUGAGAGGGAUGCUCACCUAUUUCAAGACCCAAAAUGCAAGGAAUUGAUACAAAUGAUGACCAUAUGCUGCUAGAAAAUGCAGAAUGAUUAUUCUAGCUUGAAGUGCAAGCAAUAGGAAAAGCACUGAGAGGAUGCUCACCUAUUUCAAGACCCAAAAUGCAAGGAAUUGAUACAAAUGAUGACCAUAUGCUGCUAGAAAAUGCAGAAUGAUUAUUCUAGCUUGAAGUGCAAGCAAUAGGAAAAGCACUGAGAGGGAUGCUCACCUAUUUCAAGACCCAAAAUGCAAGGAAUUGAUACAAAUGAUGACCAUAUGCUGCUAGAAAAUGCAGAAUGAUUAUUCUAGCUUGAAGUGCAAGCAAUAGGAAAAGCACUGAGAGGGAUGCUCACCUAUAUCAAGACCCAAAAUGCAAGGAAUUGAUACAAAUGAUGACCAUAUGCUGCUAGAAAAUGCAGAAUGAUUAUUCUAGCUUGAAGUGCAAGCAAUAAGAAAAACACCGUGAGAGAUGCUCAAGUUCUAUUUCAAGAUUGGAAAUGCAAGG